UACGAAGGGGGCUAGCGUUGUUCGGAAUUACUGGGCGUAAAGGGCGCGUAGGCGGCCAUCUAAGUCAGACGUGAAAUCCCCCGGCUCAACCUGGGAACUGCGUCUGAUACUGGGAGGCUAGAGUUUGGGAGAGGGAUGUAGAAUUCCAGGUGUAGCGGUGAAAUGCGUAGAUAUCUGGAGGAAUACCGGUGGCGAAGGCGGCAUCCUGGACCAAUACUGACGCUGAGGCGCGAAAGCUAGGGGAGCAAACGGG
rnacentral:rRNA from 1 species